UACGGGGGGGGCAAGCGUUGUUCGGAAUUACUGGGCGUAAAGGGCUCGUAGGCGGCCAACUAAGUCCGACGUGAAAUCCCCAGGCUUAACCUGGGAACUGCGUCGGAUACUGGUUGGCUUGAAUCCGGGAGAGGGAUGCGGAAUUCCAGGUGUAGCGGUGAAAUGCGUAGAUAUCUGGAGGAACACCGGUGGCGAAGGCGGCAUCCUGGACCGGCAUUGACGCUGAACAGCGAAAGCCAGGGAGCAAACGGG
rnacentral:rRNA from 1 species